rnacentral:lncRNA from 1 species
CCCUAGAACCUAAACCAUGGGGUGCAGCAUCAUGAUUUGAAUAACUUUUAAUGGCCAUGGGGUGUAGAUUGGCCUGAGCAAAUGUGGUGCCGGUGGAACGAAAGCCUUCGGAGGAGUUAGCGAAAUUCCAAUGUGUGCGUAUCGGCAAAAAAUGCGGAUUAACCCUUUAACUGUACAUUUGACAGAUACGCGCGCAUGGACUUUUUUGUAGAUCUUAUUGAGUUACAUGUGUGUGUCAAAUUUUGUGUCAUUUUGACAAAGCGUAUAGGCUUGACACUCAACAAUGUGUAUUUUCACCUUAGGGGACAAGAAAAAAUGGACUUUUUUCUCCUGCCAUGGGGGGCGCUCUUUUGGGGAGUAAAAAUUCCUUCACAAAUGUGUUGAUGGCUGGACAUUGCAUCAUCCUAGAAAACUUGGAGGCCAGUGAGGACAAAAAUAAAAAGUUAUAAGACUUUUAAAUAUGUGGAUUUUAGUGUUAUCUUUGGCGCCCCCUAGAACCUAAACCUUGGGGUGCAGCGUCAUGAUUUUGAUAACUUUUAAUGGCCACGGGGUGUAGAUUGGCCUGAGCAAAUGUGGUGCCGGUGGAACGAAAGCCUUCGGAGGAGUUAGCGAAAUUCCAAUGUGUGCGGAUCGGCAAAAAAUGCGAAAUAACCCUUUAACCGUAAUUUUGACAGAUACGGCCGCACUGACUUUUUUGUAGAUCUUAUUGAGAUACAUAUGUGUGUCAAUUUUUGUGUCAAUAUGACAAAGCGUACAGACGUGACAGUCAAUAGUGUGAAUUUCCACCUUAGGGGGCGCUAUGGAGCCAUUUUGCAUUUUAUUGUUUGGGCGACUUCAGAAUAUCGAAUUUUUCACCAGGCCCGGUCGUCCUGCCAAAUUUCAUGAGUUUUCGCCAGUGGGAAGUGGGCCAUUUUCCAGUUCAAAGGGGAGGAAAAAGAAGAACUAGGGCCCCGUUGGGGCACUGGCGGGCCCGAGCCGUGUCACGCCGCCCCCAGCGCGACCGCCUCCCCCACCCGAUCGCGUCACACUCAAGGUCCAAAGAUGGUGUGCGCACUUGUUUGUGGUCAUUUACCAUUAUAAUGAACGGGAGGCGCAGUUUCUACCAAAACGCUCGCUGCAGAAAAACUCCAUGUCCUAUUUGAAAAAAGUCUGGACCAUGAGUGAGGGCACAAACACAGCUAAGAUAUAUCCAAAUGGCAAGUUGCUCCUCCUUUCGCUUUUGCCGAGAGAGCAGUGCGUUUGAGCCAUUGAAUGAUGAACAGGAAAAACUUGACUUUAUUCUCCUGCCGGGGGGGGCGCUCUUUUAACGAGAAAAAACUCCUUCACAAAUGUGUUGAUGGCUGGACAUUGCAUCAUCCUAGAAAACAUGGAGGCCAGUGAGGACAAAAAUAAAAAGUUAUAAGACUUUUAAAUAUGUGGAUUUUAGGGUUAUCUUUGGCGCCCCCUAGAAUCUAAACCGUGGGGUGCAGCGUCAUGAUUUGAAUAACUUUUAAUGGCCAUGGGGUGUAGAUUGGCCUGAGCAAAUGUGGUGCCGGUGGAACGAAAGCCUUCGGAGGAGUUAGCGAAAUUCCAAUGUGUGCGAAUCUGCAAAAAAUGCGAAAUAACCCUUUAACCGUACAUUUUACAGAUACGUGGCCAUUGACUUUUUCGAAGAUCUUAUUGAAAGACACGUGUAUGUAAAAUUUUGUGUCAAUACGACAAAACAUACAGGCGUAGCACUCAACAAUGUGUAUUUUCACCUUAGUGGACAAGAAAAAAUUGACUUUUUUCUCCUGCCAUGGGGGGGCGCUCUUUUGGCGAGUAAAAAUUCCUUCACAAAUGUGUUGAUGGCUGGACAUUGCAUCAUCCUAGAAAACUUGGAGGCCAGUGGGGACAAAAAUAAAAAGUUAUAAGACUUUUAAAUAUGUGGAUUUUACGGUUAUCUUUGGCUCCCCCUAGAACCUAAACCGUGGGGUGCAGCGUCAUGAUUUGAAUAACUUUUAAUGGCCAUGGGGUGUAGAUUGGCCUGAGCAAAUGUGGUGCCGGUGGAACGAAAGCCUUCGGAGGAGUUAGCGAAAUUCCAAUGUGUGCGGAUCGGCAAAAAAUGCGGAAUAACCCUUUAACCGUACAUUUGACAGAUACGCGCGCAUUGACUUUUUCGUAGAUCUUAUUGAGAUACAUGUGUGUGUCAAUUUUUGUGUCAUUUUGCCAAAGCGUACAGGUGUUACACUCAACAAUGUGUAUUUUCACCUUAGGGGACAAGAAAAAAUGGACUUUUUUCUCCUGCCAUGGGGGGGCGCUCUUUUGGGGAGUAAAAAUUCCUUCACAAAUGUGUUGAUGGCUGGACAUUGCAUCAUCCUAGAAAACUUGGAGGCCAGUGAGGGCAAAAAUAAAAAGUUAUAAGACUUUUAAAUAUGUGGAUCUUAGGGUUAUCUUUGGCGCCCCCUAGAACCUAAACCGUGGGGUGCAGCGUCAUGAUUUGAAUAACUUUUAAUGGCCAUGGGGUGUAGAUUGGCCUGAGCAAAUGUGGUGCCGGUGGAACGAAAGCCUUCGGAGGAGUUAGCGAAAUUCCAAUGUGUGCGGAUCGGCAAAAAAUGCGAAAUAACCCUUUAACCGUACAUUUGACAGAUACGCCUGCACUGACUUUUUUGUAGAUCUUAUUGAGAUACAUGUGUGUGUCAAUUUUUGUGUCAUUUUGACAAAGCGUACCGGCGUGACAGUGAAUAGUGUGAAUUUUCACCUUAGGGGGCGCUAUGGAGCCAUUUUGCAUUUUCUUGUUUGGGCGACUUCGGAAUAUCAAAUUUUUCACCAGGCCCGGUCGUACUGCCAAAUUUCAUGAGUUUUCGCCAGUGGGAAGUGGGCCAUUUUCCAGUUCAAAGGGGAGGAAAAAUAAUAAUAAUAACUAGGACCCCGUUGGGGCACUGG